UGUAAUAAUCCAUUCGCCCAAUCGACUCUGGUGCCGGAAAAGGGAUUGUAACUCACUUCGGAAGUUGCGGUGUUUCACGGAUAAUUUUUGUUGGUUUUCUGAUCUUGUCUUUGAUUUCAAAAUGUGUUGUGUAAGUGUAGGAUUUUAACUAAUAAGGUGUACAUUAUUUUUCAUUUCAAAGUUGCAGUGAUCGUGUGAGAGAAUAGUAAGCAUGGGUUGCGAAUGUCCCGUGUCAGUCCAAGCUGCACCUAUUAAUAUUGCUAAGACUGGUUUGGUUGAUUUUCCAUUAGCAUGACUAGUGCAGGUUGCUGUGAUUUUACACACAGGGUUGACAUGUUUGGAUGGCAUGACAUGCAUGGUUCUGGUUAGGCAAUUUUUGUCGUGACGUGUGGAAAUUGAUGGUUGAAGCAAUUAAAUCACAUCAAUCAAUCAACUGCAACCAAUACCUUCACUUUGGCUUGCUGUGUUACACUUUCUGGGAAUAUGAUGAACAGGAGCUGGAGCAAACUUUGUUAAUGGAGGUCAGUCAUGUACUGCCACAAUCUGUUGGCAGGUGAGUCCGGCCUGUUGAAGGUUAAAUCCUGACUAUUAAAAAUAACAAACUAAAAUAAUAAUCAAAUAGUGCCAAUAAUGCUCCUACCUAAUCCUUGUACAGGCACAACUAACUCCUCCAUACAAAUCCCAAUCAAAAGAACAGCAUUAUUUAGUGGAUUUGGGUCAACUAAUAAGUUAACAUAAAGAUUGAAAUUUGACAUACCAAUUAUUAAGUAAUGAAUUUGGUUUUAAAUGUUAAUAAGUAGAAAUCCAAACAAUGUAACAACUGUAAUUAGAACUCAUUUUGAAUUUAAA